rnacentral:rRNA from 1 species
UACGUAGGGGGCGAGCGUUGUCCGGAUUUAUUGGGCGUAAAGAGCUCGUAGGCGGUUCGAUAAGUCGGAUGUGAAAUCUCCACGCUCAACGUGGAGGGGCCAUUCGAUACUGUCGUGACUCGAGUCCGGUAGGGGAGUGUGGAAUUCCCGGUGUAGCGGUGAAAUGCACAGAUAUCAGGAAGAACACCUAUGGCGAAGGCAGCUCUCUGGGACGGUACUGACGCUGAGACGCGAAAGCGUGGGGAGCGAACAGG